rnacentral:misc_RNA from 1 species
GAAAUGCGAUACGUAGUGUGAAUUGCAGAAUUCAGUGAAUCAUCGAAUCUUUGAACGCACAUUGCGCCCCUUGGUAUUCCAUGGGGCAUGCCUGUUCGAGCGUCAUUUGUACCCUCAAGCUCUGCUUGGUGUUGGGUGUUUGUCCCCGUCUCCGCGCGUGGACUCGCCCCAAAGUGAUUGGCAGCCGGCGUACUGGUCCCGGAGCGCAGCACAUGUCGCGCAAACGAGUGCCUUGGUACGGCGGCGUCCAUAAGCCCCUCUCUCACGCUCUUGACCUCGGAUCAGGUAGGGAUACCCGCUGAACUUAAGC